GCCGCUGUAGCUCAGUUGGUAGAGCAAGGGACUGAAAAUCCCUGUGUCAACAGUUCGAUUCUGUUCGGCGGCA
rnacentral:tRNA from 1 species